GGAAGAAGCCACAGUCCUGUGCUGGCAUUAUUCCAAUCCGACGAGUUGGGGCAUCAGAAAGCCAUUCCAGAGGGAACACUCCCCAGGGUCAGAUGACUGGGCUGGGCCGCAUGACUUAACACGUCCUUCCUUGCUAAUCUAUUUUGGUGCAUGGGUGGAAGCCACAGCAGCUAUGGCCCAAGGGCUCCAAGAACAGGAAUCACAUCGGUGAAAUUACUCAAGUUGAUAUUAGUUGGACAUUGGUUUAGGGGAAUAGCAUCAUAAAUUGCUAGUUUUGGCAAACGGUAUAGUGGGAUACAGUGUGUUUUCCUCGUGGACACCCAAGGUUUUCAUCGCCAUAAAAGCAAAAGCCACUUCUCAGUAAGCACAUUUCAUAACAUGGAGGUCCUCAUGGGAUUUUCAGCUUUUCAGCUAUUGUGAUCUUCAAUCCCAAGUGCUUCUUUGAGCAAUUUUAUUCUAUCCCACAGAAGAAAAUGAACUAUUUAGCUCCACACUUAAUGGCAAACUCCAUUUCGGCAUACACAUUAAGCCCAGACUCCAGCAGGCUCUGAUCAAUACGUUUGGUUAUGAACCAGAGCCCCUUCACACAGUCAAAGAUCCUCACUGGUGACAAAAGACUGGGAGCUGUCAAUGAUUGAUGCCCUCUCAGCAGUGCACUGACAAGCCAGGCCCCAGGAAACAGAGAAGAAAACCAUAUGAAAGUCCUUAGGGAGACGCUGACUGGCAUGGACAAGAGAUCACAUCUAAAAGUCAACAGAAUUGAGAUCUGGUGCAGCACAGGGUAGUUAAUGUGAAAUCUGGACUCUGCCUACAAAUUCUGCACCAAAGAAGUUCUAUGAACACAGGGACUCUCUUGGACUCAGACUGGGGAAACUGCUUCAAGGAGAGGGUCAUGGAAGUUCUAAUUAAGUAGAGUGCUGUCACCACACCUCUGCAGUCACACUCUGUAGCUGGCUUUGACUAGCGGCUGUGAUUGGACUAGUUACCACAACUACAUUCUCCCUACUGUUUGCACUUAGCCUAACAUAGCCUACAGAUCAAACAUCUAGAAGGGCAAGUGGUGAUAGAGAAUUGGCGAUGGCAAAGUUCUGAUCACAGACAGUUCUCCAGUGUGACAGUUCUCCUGAUUAAGAUUCAGAUUUAUUUCACUAGACAGGUAUGUAGCAAUAUAGACAGGGUUCUUUUUUCUGAAUGGCCUGCCAAAUAUGCAAUUUUGCUGGAGAACUUUGAAGCACAUUAAAAGUUUUGAGGGCUGGGUGCGGUGGCUUACACCUAUAAUCUCAGCACUUUGGGAGGCCGAGGCUGGCAGAUCACAAGGUCAGGAGUUUGAGACCAGCCUGGCCAACACAGUGAUACCCUGUCUCUACUAAAAAAAUACAAAAAGUUAGCUGGGUGUGGUGGCGGGUACCUGUAUUCCCAGCUACUUGGGAUGCUGAGGCAGGAGAAUAGCUUGAACCCAGGAGGCAGAGGUUGCAGUGAGCCAAGAUUGCACCACUGCACUCCAGCCCAGGCAACAGAGUGAAACUCUGUCUCAAAAGAAAAAAAAAAAGGUUUUGAGAGUAGCGAUGGUAAUUCAACCAGACACACAGCAAGUAAUAGUAAAAAGUUAGAGAAAAGCAGCCACCAUGAACAUUUUAGCAGCUAGUCAUGGAUGGCUCACACAGUGAGAGGAGUAACAGGAACCUGGGUUCCUGGACUCUACACCUCUUCUGAAGUGAAACCACAAAUAGGCAAAACAAACAAACAAACAAACAAACAAUUCUGCCAAUAUGUGCACUACUUCAUAGAGAGGAUUGGAAGAGAAAAGUCAAACAGUCAAAAAUGUUUGAAUUAAUGCCUGGCUGUUAAACAGAAAAAAUAAAUAAAUAAAGAGGGAAAACAUGUUUCAAGAAAGAGCUGACAUGAAAGCUGGCAUUUGAUUUUCAAAGAUUAUAGGAAUAAACUUGCCCUUCGAGACUAUGAGAUGAAAUGAUUGUCACGCUUUCUAAUGCAUCUGCCCAUCAGUCGCUAAUGGAAGGACAGAAAACCCCUAUUUUUCACUCAGCAACUUCCUACAGUUUGAAUUCCCAGAAAAAAUAAUUACUGUUGAAACCAGAUAACCCAAGUGAGAGUGUCUUGCACACAGUAGGCCCCUGAUAAGAGCUAGUUUCCUUCCUAAUAUUUGAUAGGUCACGUUCCUUUUUUUUUUUUUAAGCACAGACACAGGCACGGCUAUAGGAAAAGAUGGCCAAUAGUAAAUAUGCACAAAUUCUCUCUCAGAAGACCUGAAUAUAUUCCAGCACAGUGGCCUACACGGCGCUCCUCCAGUUUUGAGGUGAAUUUUGAUGCGCAUUAUUCAUCUGUUGCUAUUCCAGGAAAUCCAUUUGAGAUGAUAUUUCGCUGUGAUUUUUUUCCCCUUCUCUUCUUUCUUUUUGAUUUUGUUUUUAAAUAACAACAGCUGUGCUCUGAAUUCGCUUCCUUUUGUUCCUUUUAAAGUGGCUGGAAUCUGGGAGGUUUGAAAGAUGCUUCUCCAUACCGCUGAUCAAAGAUUCUUUUCCUGAGAACUGGUUCACUCCCUAGCUAUACAUUAAUCAAAUCCUCCCCUUUUUCUCAAGUUCCAAAAGUGUUUUCUUUCCCUCCCUCUAGCUGUGAGUCUGAUUCCACAUUAGGAAAGUUGAUGAAGUAGCUCUGUUAUGAGAGAGACCCAGAGGGGCUUUCAUCUCAAAGGCCACAGAUUCCAUCUCGUUCAGUCAGACCUGUUUGCUAAACCAUCAGGCCACGUCUUAUCUGACCCCUCGCAGCCCUCUUCGUCGUGGGGUUUGAAGGCAGCAUCUGAGAACUGGCAGUGACCAACCUGGCGUGUUUGUGAAGUGCCGACCUACAAGGGACAGCCUCCUGUGGGCCAUGACCCUGGAGCACACAUCCCAGAUCCUCUUCCAAAGGACAACUCUUUCCUUUCUUCCCUGUCAGUCUCUCUGCCAUUCAUCUCUAGUCAUUCAUUUUAGUUUUCACAG
rnacentral:lncRNA from 1 species